GUAACAGGAAACUGCCUUCUGGAUUUGUGGAAAGUUCACCAGUAGGAAGCUCCUAUGGCAACUGGGAAGGUUAGCUUCCUGGCUGCUCACAAAGAUUUUCCUGCAUGCCACUGCUCUCCAGAAAUCCACCAACAUUCACGUAGACUUCUCAAUGAAUGGCACGGAAAGAUUCUUCUUAAGGCAUCUUCAAAUUCAGAGAAUCAACCUGGACUUUUGGACCUUUUUUUCCCUCAACGUGGAUCAAAUGUUGGACUUUUC
rnacentral:lncRNA from 1 species